GCAACUCGCCUGCAUGAAGGCGGAAUCGCUAGUAAUCGCAGGUCAGCAUACUGCGGUGAAUACGUUCCCGGGCCUUGUACACACCGCCCGUCACACCAUGGGAGUUGGCCACGCCCGAAGUCGUUACUCCAACCGUUCGCGGAGGAGGAUGCCGAAGGCAGGGCUGAUGACUGGGGUGAAGUCGUAACAAGGUAGCCGUACCGGAAGGUGUGGCUGGAUCACCUCCUUUAA
rnacentral:rRNA from 1 species